GCAGUUCAAGGCCUCAUUGCCAUCGACUCCACUGUCUGUCGCGCGGUUCCGGCCCCUGCGGCCGCCCCCUUCCUUCCUGGGCUCGGCGGGUGCGGGAAAAAGGGUGAAAGAGAAACUUGGCGACCUCCCGGAGGAGUUCGCGAAGCGACCAGGAGCGUGUUGCCAUCGUCCUCACCCGGCACCCAAUUCCACCACAGAGUCGGGAUUUCGUCGGUGAUCGUGAUGGGGUGGUGAGAGGUGGAUGAGGAAACAGGCACCAGUGCAGCUGAUUUGACCUCCAGUGGGAUAGAUACGAUUAGCACCAGGAUCGUGUCUCAUUUUGAACCCAGAUCUGAACAGAAUUAAGACGAACGAGCUUUCACAAUUGCAGCAGAUGAAGAUCCAUUGGUAAAUUGAUCAGGAUUUUUGGCCUACCCUCCAAAGAAAAGAGGAGCUAACUGAGGUACAGAUGAAAAAAUUAUCCUGCCAACGUCCAGAGUUAGGUGGUGGCAGAGAUGGGUUCCAGGACCAGCUUCAUCUCCAACUCAUGUUCCUAUGAGGAAUGCUGUGGCUGGUGGUGUCAGAUUUUACUUAGGAUUUUUUCAAGAUAAGUCAAUCUGGAAUUUUUUGUGAAAUUUUCCAAGUUUUAAUGUUGGCUUAAAAAAUAGCUUUAUUGAGAUGUAAUUCAAAUGCCAUAAAUUUACCCCUUUAAACUGUACAUUUAAUGGUUUUUAGUGUAUUCACAGUAUUGAUUGUAUAACUGUUUCUUCUAUCUAGGUCAAAAACAUUUUUAGCACCCACAUUGGAGACCCCAUCGCAUUCCUAAGCAGUCACUCUCCAUCUUCUCUUCCUUCAGCCUCUGGAAACCACUAAUCUGCUCUCUGUCUGUAUGGAUUUGCCUAUUCUGGCUAAUUCACCUAAAUGAAAUCAAAUAAUAUGUGACCUAUUUGUCUUCUUUCAUUUAGCAUAAUGUUUUUAAGAUUUAUUCAUGUUGGAGCAUGUAUCAGUGCUUCAUUUUAUGGCUGAAUAAUUUUUUUUUUUUUUUUUGAGAUGGAGUCUCACUCUGUUGCCCAGGCUGGAGUGCAGUGGCACAAUCUUGGCUCACCACAAGCCCCCCCCACUCCCCCGCCAGGUUCAAGCGAUUCUCCUGCCUCAGCCUCCCAGGCAGCUGGGAUUAUAGGCGUGCACCACCAUGCCCAGCUAAUUUUUUUGUGUUUUCAGGAGAGAUGGGUUUCACUAUCUUGGCCAGGCUGGUCUUGAACUCCUGACCUCGUGAUUUGCCUGGCUUGGCCUCCCAAAGUGCUGGGAUUAUAGGUGUGAGCCACUGCACCUGGCAAUAAUAUUCUUUGUAGAGAUAUAUCACAAUUUGUUUAUUCAUUUGUUGAUGUACAUAUGGGUUGUUUCCACCUUUUGGCUUUUAGGAAUUACACUGCUAAUGAAUAUUAGUGCUCAGGUAUCUGAGUCUCUGCUUUCAGUUCUUUUGAGUGUAUACCUAGAAGUGGAAUUGCUGGAUCAUAUGCUAAUUCUGUGUUUAACCUUUUAAGUAACUACCACUGUUUUCCACAAUGGCUGCACUGUUUUACAUUCCUGCCAGCAAUGUAUGAGGAUUCCAGUUUUUUCAUAUCCUUGCUAACACUCUUCAUUUUCUGUUCUUUUGUUGUUGUUUAUUACAGCCAUCCUAGUGGGUGAGAGGUGGUAUCUCUGAUUUAGAUUUGCAUUUCCCUAAUGACUAAUGAUAUUGACCUUCUUUUUUUGUUGUUGUUGUUAAUUUACUGGGCUGCGUUCUUUCUUUUCUACAUUCUAGUUCAAGUCCCUUAUCAGAUAAAUGAUUUGCAAAAAUGUGUAGGUUCUGUGGGUUUUCAUUUUCUUGAUGGCAUCCUUUGAAGCACAGAAGUUUAAUUUUGAUGAAGUUCAAUUUACCCAUUUGGCUCUGUUUUCAUUCUUUUUUAAUUUAAUUUAAUUUAAUUUUUUUUUGAGACGGAGUCUUAUUCUGUCGCCAGACUGGAGUGCAGUGGCACAAUCUGGGCUCACUGCAACCUCUGACUCCCUAGUUCAAGAGAUUCUCCUGCCUCAGCCGCCUGAGUAGCUGGGAUUACAGGCACGUGCCACCACGCCCAGCUAAUUAUUGUAUUUACAGUAAAGACGGGGUUUCACCAUGUUGGCCAGGAUGGUCUCGAUCUCCUGACCUCGUGAUCUGCCUGCCUCGGCCUCCCAAAGUGCUGGGAUUACAAGUGUGAGCCACCGCACCCGGCCUUGGCUCUGUUUUUAAAAAGAAAUACCUGGUAAGUCAGAUUCCAACCCACUAAUUGCCCGCUUGUGAUUGCUGCUUUGCUGCCACUGCCCCAGAAACCAUUUGGAAAAAUCCUCAUGCUUUUUGAAAAUACCGGUUUUCUGAAGAGAUGGAGCAAGCUCUGGAAGGCAGGAAAGGCAGAUUUCUCACCAGGAGCAAUUUUGUUUUGGUUCCCCUUUUCUACUCCUGAAGUUCCUUCACUUAGAACACCUUGAUGUAGACGUGGGGGCAUAGUAGGAAGUGGACAGAGGAUCAAGGUCUCCAGGUCUUGAAAAUUUUAUGUUUAUCAAAAG
rnacentral:lncRNA from 1 species